AGGUGAUAUAUUGAAAAAUGGUAUAUGUUAUUAAUAUUAUUUUAAGAAUUUUGAAUCAAUAUUUAAAAAUGAUAUAAAGAUGAAAAUCAAUCAUAAUCAUGAAAAUGAUAAAAAAUAAAACAAGUGGAAUGAAACAUCUGAGUAACUUGUUAAAUAACCAACAGGGAUUAUAUAAGUAACGGUGAGUGAAAGUAUAAAAAUCUUAAAGUAUUACCAAGAGGUAAGAAUAAAGUAGUUUCCAACUACUAAGAAAUAAAAUUAAAUAUUAGAUUAAAGUACCGCAAGGGAAAGAAAGAAAAUAGAAUAAUAAAGAGCAGUUAUAGUAUAACGUACCUUUUGUAUAAUGGGCCAGUGAGUUAUAUACUUUAGUGAAAUAUAAAAUUUAUAUAUAAUUAGAUAUAAUUAAAGUAUAUAGGCCCGAAAGCAAACGAUCUACACAUGUCCAAGUGUAUAUAAUUAAUGUUUAACAUAUAAUUAUAUAUGACUCAAUAGGUAAUUGUAGCAAUAAUUUCUAAAGAGAUGUGUGUAGCUGUGACAGACAAAUCUGGUUUGCAGAUAGCUGGUUUUCUGCGAAAUAUAUUUUAGUAUAGCCUUUAUAUUUAUUUAAACUGGUACAGCACUUAAAUACCUUUGGGGAAUUAGAAUAUAAUUUUAUCAAAAUAUUUAAACCUCGGAAUCAGUUAUUUAUCUCAUUAUUAUGAGUAAUAUAAGGAGUCAGACUUAUUGCGAUAAGGUAGUAGGUCGAGAAGGAAACAACCUAGACUAUUAAAUUAAUGUCCCAAAUAUUAAUUAAGUGAAUAAAAUCUAUAUAUCUCUGCUUUGCAGAGAUAAUAUUAAACUAUAGACAAUUAGUAAGUGGGUUUGACAAUAAUCAACUUUUAAUGAACAUGUAACAAUGCACUAAUUUAAUAUAUAUAUAUAUAUAUAUUUUUAUUAAUAAUAGAGAAAAUAUAUCGGGUCUAAAUUAAUAACAGUAUUAUAGAUAUAAUCUUAUAAAAAAAAAGAUUAUAUGGUAGCAGAAUAUAUAAUAAAAAAUUAUAAAGAGAUUGCUGGCUUGAGUAACGAUAGAUAAUAUAAGAUUAUCCCCUUAUUCAUAAGGUUUUACUAUAAACGAACGGUCCCUAAGAUUAAUAUAGAAAUAUAUAAUUAAUGGGUGAAAGAACAAGAAAAUAAAAAUGAACCGUACUGUAGACCGACACAGGUAUGAUUAAAAGGGAAUGGGAUAACUACAUUGAAUGAACUCGGCAAAAUAAAUCGUGCGACUGUUUACCAAAAACAUAGCUUAUUGCAUACUAGUAAUAGUAAGUAUAAUAAGUGAUAUCUGCCCGGUGUUUGUUUAAUAAAUAUUGUUAUUUUAUAGAUAACUUUAUAAAAAACAGAUAAACGGCGGUCUUAUUGUGAGGAUCCGAAGGUAGCGAAAUUCAUUGACGUAUAAUUGACGUCCUGCAUGAAUGAAUAUACGAUGCGAUAACUGUAUCCAAUGUAGACCCAGUGAAAUAGCAAUUGCGGUGAAAUUAGUACUAUAAUAUUAUAUUAUAUUAUACGCCGGGUUGGUGAAAAUCCAACUUUAUAGUUUUAAUUUUUAAUAUUUAAUAAAAAACAAUGAUGAGAGUAAAUACAAUGGCCCGCUUAUAUAAGCGGGCUAUCAUCCCCGCGUCGCGGGGAUAAUUUAUUUCUCCUCCGGAGAAAUAUAAUCAUUGAUUUAUCAAAAUUUAGGUCCCUUCGGGAUCUAUAAUAAUUCCCCUUCGGGGAAUAAUUAAUAAAUUUAAUAAAUGAUUUAUUGGUUUCUCCGAAUCUAAUUUUUUAAUUAUAGGUAAAUAUUAUUUACAAAGAAUUAAAGUUUAUGCCCGCCAAGGCGGGAAAUAUAAAAAAUUAAAUGUCUUAAUUGACAGAUAAGUAUUAAUGAAUUAUUAAUAUUUUCUUAGGAGAGAAUUAUAAUUCAUACACCCGCUGCUUUGCAGCGGGCGUGACAAGAAUACAAUCGAAUAAUACUUAUCCCUCGAUAGAGGGUAAAUUACAUAAGGCAAUAUGUGAUUUAAUCGCUAUAAAUAAAAAGGUGAAAACGGUCAACGAUAUCUUGAUUGAAGACCGUCGGCAAUUGUAUGUGUCGCUACAGACUGGUUCACCGAGGUUAGACUGAAAUGUCUGUCUAAAUGUACAGUCGGGUUCUGUAAUAUAAUAUAUCUGCUUUAGGGCGUAUAUUAUAUAGAGGUGAAAGAUAUAUCAGAAUAAACUGAUAAGCUUAUUAGUACAUAAGUAAUAAACCUUUGUAGGUCAAACUUACUUAAUUUAAUCAGAAUUGGAAGAUGCCGUAUAUCCGUAGGUUGACAAAAAGACCCUAUGCAGCUUUACUAUAUCUUUAUUUUGAUUUUUAAUACCUUUUAGGUGUUAUACUUUUUUUAUUUAUUUCAGUAGAUUAGGUUAUAUUUAUAUUUUAAAUCAAAUGAGAUACCUAUAUAAAUGAAAAAAGAAUCUAAUUAAUACAGUUUAUUAUUCUUACGGAAUAAUAACUUAAGUUAUACUUAUUUAAGAAAGAGUAAAGAGGUUAGUUUCGAUGGGGCGUCGACAUCAGCGAAAGCAUCUGAUGUGUCUAAUAACAAAGUUAGAAAAACUAAAUGUUUAAUUAAAUUUUUUAUUUAAUAGUAAAUUACGUACAAUAUUUCUAUAUGGUAAAUAGAAUAAAACAAUAUUUUUUAAAUAUAUGAUUAUAUAAGUAAGGAUAACAACAUAAUUGUGCGAUGAUAAUAACACUAACAAGUGAAAUUAGUACUUACGUAGAGUGUAGUGAACAGGCAUAAACAAAUGGUAUGGAUGUCGAUAACGGAUUAAAGUUACGCUAGGGAUUAAAUGUUAGUUCCUUUAUAUAGAAAGCUCAUAAAUUUAUCCCCCCUCAAGGGGGGAUUAAUCAUACCCUUCCGGGUAUAAUUUAUAUGAGCUGAAUAUAUAUUAUCUCCGCGAUAGUGAGAUAACCUUCUAAAGAAGGUAUAUUAAUUGGGUAAAUUGCAUAGAAAUCUUUUUCGUAAAAGAUAAUAUGCAGCGAAGCAUAUAUUAGUUUUUAUAGAUAUAUGAACGUUCAACGACUAGUAAUUGAGUAAACUAACAAUAAUAUUACCACGAGCACCCAAUACCUAAUAAUAUCUUUAAUAGAUAUUCUUAAAUAAAUAUAUAUAUUUUUUUUCCCUAAAAAGGAGAAUAUAAAUCAAAUUACCUUCAAACAGAAGGUUUAUAAUAAAAAAUAAAAUAUGAACAAAGAGAUGAAAAAAUGAAUAAUGAAAAAAGAUUUAAUUAAUAUUUCUCCUAAUAGUAAUUUAUUAAAAUCUUAUAAACAACAAUUUCCUAAUAUUUCACAAUAUCAAAAAGAAGUAUUAGUAGGUAUAAUAUUAGGAGAUGGAUAUAUUUAUUUAAGAAUUUUAUUAGGUAAAGACAUAGUCUAAACUAUAUAGUGAUAUAUAGAAGUUGUCAAAUUAAAAAAACAACGAUAAUAAAAUUGAACAGGGUAAUACCGCGUGAGAGUUGAUAUCGUCAGCGGUGUUUGCCACCUCGAUUAAUAACGAUAGUCGAGUAUAAAUAGGUUUAAUUGCAAGAAGUCUAAAGAUUUAUAUCCAUGAUGAUUUGCAGCGAAUUAUUAUCUAUAUGAAUAAUAAUUUAUAGUUAAAAAUAUAUAUAUCCCCGCUACGCGGGGAUGAUAGCCCGCUACGCGGGCCAUUAUUAUAAGGAUAAUAAACGUUCAACGACUAGUAGGUGAGUACAUAUAACAAUAUCCUACCAAGAAAUACCUAGGAAUAUUUACCGUAAUGCGGUAUGAUAUUAUUUUAUUUAUAUUGAAAAAUGGUUUUAUUUUGUAUUAUUAUCCUCCAUAAGGAGGUUCACCUGGAUUAACCAGGUUAUUUAUUUCGAAGGGCUUUUUAAAAAAUUAAAAUAAUGUAAUAUUUUAUCAAAUGAAUUAAAUAUUAAAAUUUAAUUUAGGUGGGCAAGCCCACCUAUAAUCAUUGGGGCGCCAAUAAUUUAGGUCCCUUCGGGACCUAUAAUCAACCCGCUUCGCGGGUUAAUUUAAAUAGUAGUGUUAGAAUAUCUAGAAAAACUAACAUUAAAAUAUUAUAUAAAUUAGUUUUUACAACUAAUAAUACUAAAUUAAUUAGUAAAUUAAUUAAACCAUACAUAAUAAAAUCUUUUCAAUAUAAAAUUAUAUAGUCCAUAGUAAACUAUGGUCUAAUAUAUAAAUAUAUCAAUCAGUAAAACUGAAAUAUUUUAAGACAUAGUCUGAACAAUAAUGAAAAUUAUUGAAAUUAAAUUUAAAUAAUUUAAUAAUAACAAAUUGGUCGUCUAGACUCGUCCUCCUGGUCGCAGCAACUAGGUAGGGUAGGACUGUUCGUCCUCUAAGGAGUUACUUGAGAUGGGUUAAUUACGACGUGAGUCAGUAAUGAUUUUAUCAUCUAUGGAUUUUUUUCUUAUCUGUUGCCUUAAGUGUACGCAAGGAUAAUAAGGUACAUUCCUAUGGUAAAAAUAAUUAGAUCUUUUAAAUAGCAAUAAGUUAUAGAGAUUAUAUAUUAGCUAAGAAUGUUGUGUUUACAUAUUGAAUGCAUAUCAAAUAUUAAAUCCUUCAGAUAAGUUUAUACAUUAUAGACUAUAAUGUAUUAGUAAAAAUGUAAAUAUUAUUUACGUUUCAACUAACUAAAAUUUAAACAUAUACCU
rnacentral:rRNA from 1 species